rnacentral:rRNA from 1 species
AUUGAACGCUGGCGGCAGGCUUAACACAUGCAAGUCGAGCGGGGGAAGGUAGCUUGCUACCGGACCUAGCGGCGGACGGGUGAGUAAUGCUUAGGAAUCUGCCUAUUAGUGGGGGACAACAUCUCGAAAGGGAUGCUAAUACCGCAUACGUCCUACGGGAGAAAGCAGGGGAUCUUCGGACCUUGCGCUAAUAGAUGAGCCUAAGUCGGAUUAGCUAGUUGGUGGGGUAAAGGCCUACCAAGGCGACGAUCUGUAGCGGGUCUGAGAGGAUGAUCCGCCACACUGGGACUGAGACACGGCCCAGACUCCUACGGGAGGCAGCAGUGGGGAAUAUUGGACAAUGGGGGGAACCCUGAUCCAGCCAUGCCGCGUGUGUGAAGAAGGCCUUAUGGUUGUAAAGCACUUUAAGCGAGGAGGAGGCUACUUUAGUUAAUACCUAGAGAUAGUGGACGUUACUCGCAGAAUAAGCACCGGCUAACUCUGUGCCAGCAGCCGCGGUAAUACAGAGGGUGCGAGCGUUAAUCGGAUUUACUGGGCGUAAAGCGUGCGUAGGCGGCUUAUUAAGUCGGAUGUGAAAUCCCCGAGCUUAACUUGGGAAUUGCAUUCGAUACUGGUGAGCUAGAGUAUGGGAGAGGAUGGUAGAAUUCCAGGUGUAGCGGUGAAAUGCGUAGAGAUCUGGAGGAAUACCGAUGGCGAAAGCAGCCAUCUGGCCUAAUACUGACGCUGAGGUACGAAAGCAUGGGGAGCAAACAGGAUUAGAUACCCUGGUAGUCCAUGCCGUAAACGAUGUCUACUAGCCGUUGGGGCCUU